rnacentral:tRNA from 1 species
GAGUAUCUAGUUUAAUUUUCAUAAAACACUAGAUUGUCAAACUAGAGCUACCCGUAAAGUGAUUCUCU